GCUACGUCCAUACUGUCUUCAGUACGAAAAGGAUAAAAACCUACCGAUCAGAUUAUUUGACUGUAGAGGGAUUCUUGAAGCUGAUAGUAUAGCGCUGAAGGAAAUUGAACUUAUCAUUAAGGGAUUUAUCAAAUCCCAUUCAGUGAUAAAAACGGCAUCACAGAUGAAGGAAGACAAGAUGGUAUAUCGUGAUGAUCCAGAUAUACGUAAUUCAAUGCAUUGUGUGGUUUUCACUAUAAGAGCUGAUAAGGCGAUAAAUUGCAUAGACGAAUUUAAGGACCUUCAAAUCAUACUCGAGGACCUUGGUAUUCCUUUGUGCAUUUUGUUCACUGCCAUAGACAGGAUAGGAGGGGCUUCUGAUAAUGUGGAAGGAGUCUUUCUCAAUAAAAAUGUAGAAGAAGAAUGUAAAAGACUUGGUGAAAAUCUCAAUUUUGAAUUUAUAAACAUUUUACCGAUGUCAAAUUUUCAUGACGAAUACUCUCCAAAGGAUUCUAAAAACGCUUUGGCUCUUAUUAACCUAAAAUGGAUUGUUGACAGAGCUGUUGAUCACCUAUACCAAAAACAAUGCGUGGAUAAAGAUUUUUAUGAUUAGAAUUUUGUUCUUUAUUUGCUACUCUUACAUGUUUUCAA